rnacentral:rRNA from 1 species
UGCCUAACACAUGCAAGUCAAGGGGGUCUGCCGCAAGGCAGACCACCGGCGCACGGGUGAGUAACACGUGGGUAAUCUGCCUCCGAGAUUGGGAUAACCUGCCGAAAGGCGGGCUAAUACCGGAUAAGGCCACAGGGACGAGAGUCCCAGGGGUUAAAGGAUGGCCUCUAUUUAUAAGCUAUCGCUUGGAGAUGAGCUCGCGGCCCAUCAGCUAGUUGGUAAGGUAAUGGCUUACCAAGGCUAUGACGGGUAGCUGGUCUUAGAGGACGACCAGCCACACUGGAACUGAGACACGGUCCAGACUCCUACGGGAGACAGCAGUGGGGAAUAUUGCGCAAUGGACGAAAGUCUGACGCAGCAACGCCGCGUGGGUGAUGAAGGCCUUCGGGUCGUAAAGCCG